ACGGGUGAGUAAUACAUCGGAACGUAUCCUGGAGUGGGGGAUAGCCCGGCGAAAGCCGGAUUAAUACCGCAUACGCUCUGAGGAGGAAAGCGGGGGUCCUUCGGGCCUCGCGCUCAAGGGGCGGCCGAUGGCGGAUUAGGUAGUUGGUGGGGUAAAGGCCUACCAAGCCGACGAUCCGUAGCUGGUCUGAGAGGACGACCAGCCACACUGGGACUGAGACACGGCCCAGACUCCUACGGGAGGCAGCAGUGGGGAAUUUUGGACAAUGGGGGCAACCCUGAUCCAGCAAUGCCGCGUGUGUGAAGAAGGCCUUCGGGUUGUAAAGCACUUUUGUCCGGAAAGAAAUCAUCGGGGCCAAUACCCCUGGUGGAUGACGGUACCGGAAGAAUAAGCACCGGCUAACUACGUGCCAGCAGCCGCGGUAAUACGUAGGGUGCGAGCGUUAAUCGGAAUUACUGGGCGUAAAGCGUGCGCAGGCGGUGCUGUAAGACCGAUGUGAAAUCCCCGGGCUUAACCUGGGAACUGCAUUGGUGACUGCAGCGCUGGAGUAUGGCAGAGGGGGGGUGGAAUUCCACGU
rnacentral:rRNA from 1 species